rnacentral:rRNA from 1 species
UACAGAGGGUGCUAGCGUUAAUCGGAGUUACUGGGCGUAAAGGGCGCGUAGGCGGUCAGAUAAGUGAGUUGUGAAAUCCCUGGGCUCAACCUAGGAACUGCAACUUAUACUGUAAGACUAGAGUAUUGUAGAGGGUAGUGGAAUUUCCGGUGUAGAGGUGAAAUGCGUAGAGAUCGGAAGGAACACCAGUGGCGAAGGCGGCUACCUGGACAAAUACUGACGCUGAGGCGCGAAAGCGUGGGGAUCAAACAGG